rfam:Candidatus Haloredivivus sp. G17 Contig234, whole genome shotgun sequence.
GCGGUCAUAGUGUAGUCCGGCCAAUCAUCUCGGCCUUUCGAGCCGAAGACCCGGGUUCAAAUCCCGGUGACCGCA